rnacentral:rRNA from 1 species
AAUCUUCCACAAUGGACGAAAGUCUGAUGGAGCAACGCCGCGUGAGCGCAGAAGGUUUUCGGAUCGUAAAGUUAUGUUGCGAGGGAAGAACAAGUACGGGAGUAGCUGCCUGUACCUUCUCGGUACCUCGUCAGAAAGCCACGGCUAACUACGUGCCAGCAGCCGCGGUAAUACGUAGGUGGCAAGCGUUUUCCGGAAUUAUUGGGCGUAAAGCGCGCGCAGGCGGUCCUUUAAGUCUGAUGUGAAAGCCCACGGCUCAACCGGGGAGGGUCAUUGGAAACUGGAGGACUUGAGUACAGAAGAGGAAAGCGGAAUUCCACGUGUAGCGGUGAAAUGCGUAGAGAUGUGGAGGAACACCAGUGGCGAAGGCGGCUUUCUGGUCUGUAACUGACGCUGAGGCGCGAAAGCGUGGGGAGCAAACA